rnacentral:lncRNA from 1 species
CGGUCAAAAUAGGCGAACGUCAGUCACAGUAAUAUCAUCGAGCUUCGCGAUUCGCCGGGGGUGUAGAAUUUCUCCCCUUUUUAGUGCCACUCGUCAGGGAGCUGAGCGAGAGGGAUGAGAAUCGCAGCAGCAAAAGUAAAAGUAACGCGAUUGUGUAAAUACGAAAACCCAAGUUGAGUAGCGAGCAGGGAACGCGGCAACAUCGCUUUCCAGGGUAAUGGAAGAUUUUUUAAACGUGCAAGAAGAAGAGAAAAUCGUCGUAGAGAUUCAAUUUUGCUGUAUUGAUUAACUUUUCAAUGAAAAUUUGAUCAUUUUCUCUCGUCUGUAAUAAUUGUGCAUACCGUUGGAAUGGCAAACAUUGUCACUUUACACUCAAGCUUAUUGGCGCCAAAGAGAAGAAGGUAUAACUCCAUAUUGUAUCACCAGUAUUAUUACUCCCGCCUUCUCUUCUAUCCGCUCAAUUAUCUGUACACGUCAAACAAUAAACAGCAUUCAUAAC